rnacentral:tRNA from 1 species
GCGCCCGUAGCUCGGCGGCUAGAGUGCCGGCCUCAUACACCGGAGCUGGCGGGUUCAAAUCCAGCCUGGGGCC